CUGGAUAAUCUCAGUCAAUAUCAAUUAAAUUCCCAUAGGAAAGCUUUAGGGGGGCUAUUGCGCAUGUGGGGCAAAAUGCUGCCCUUCACCGCACCAAUCAGCAUCUCCUCAUAGAGAUGCAUUGCAUCAAUGCAACUCUGUGGGGAGCGAUCAGUGCUUCCAUGUAGAGUGUGCAGCACUGGACUAGGAAGCAUCUCUAGU